GGGGGAGAGACUAGUCUCUGCAGGAUGGAGUCUGUGCACCUUACCCUACCAUAAGCAGGGAUUUCAAUGUACUAUAUCGUAAGGAUUUCCUCCUUUUUUUUGUGCUGCAGUAUUUGUUUCACCAAAUGUGAAUGCGUUCCUGGUCCAGGCCUUGUGAAAUGACACCGGCUUAAAGACGCCACUGAAAGCUGACACUGUUAAAGUGCUCCUCUCAUGUUCGUUAGUUCUUCUCUUGCCAGAUGGAGAAGGAGAGGUGAGCCUGAUAGGCACUGGUCACAGGAUACUCCCACAAGACAUUCUUGGCCAAAUGGAACCCAGUUUGAAGCCAAACCCUUUGGCCACCAUCCUAUUCGUGAAAGCCUGAAAAACCAGCUUUCACUGAUUCAUCUGUACCGACUACAACGUAGCAAAUGGAAUUUGGGUCUUUGUCAAAAAGGUUGGCAGCAAUCUCAAUUUCAUCUACACAAGCAGGAGGACAUUUUAACAUAAUGAACUGUAACAAUUCUUAUCCGUAACGACAGGGGUGAAUAAACACACUGUGGAGCCAAUUUCAACUCUGAAUCAGCAAUUGCAUCUUUCCUGACCCAACGGCAUCUGUGUCCUUCACCUUGGAUUGGCUCCCAGGCCAUUUGGAUCAGAAGCAGCCCUGCAGUUGUGGAGAUGUCUGUGUUUAUUUCAUAUGAGUUCUAACUUUCGUUUGCACCGCUAGGCGCAUAGAGACACAGAAGGCUGUACAGACCCCUCCCUCUUGGCACCGCCACUGCAGGACGAAAACACACGGCCUGGCUCGCAAACGCAGUCGGCGUUAGCCAGCGUUAGCGCUCCUUGACAGGAGCAGUUUCUGCGUACAUCCACCCACCAUGGGAUGUGUGAUGUGCUCUCAGCUCAUCAACAUGUGGAAAGUGUCUGUGAAGCAGCCCGGUCAAAGGGCCGUGGAGCUCUCCCUGUUUCCGGACGUGUCCUCUGAGGGCUACCAGAGAGUCUCGGGGCUGCACUACAUGUCCUCUUUCUCAGACGCGGAGGACUGCUGUGAUGACGUCACGCCGAACAGCUCAUCCUCCACAGACUGUUUCGAGCAGUGAUGCGCAGAGAGAAAUGAGGCGCUGGACAACAGCGUAUCGAUAGUUAGGUUUCCAUUCCGUGUGAAUGUCAUGUAUGCAACUUUGCAAAUGGAAAUGAACACUGUUUGCAUAAUCACAUGCUCUUCUAUUAGGUCAGCUGCUUCGAAAAUAAAUAACUGGUCUAAACUGUUUCCAUUUGCUGCAGUGGAAGCAGUUGUAAUUUGAAGAAAAUCUGGCAUCAUUAAAAUCAACCCUUAGCAUCAGAAUUAUUAAGUCAUAGCUGACCACAUCUUAUGGUGCUUGCUCAAAGUGCGCGAUACCAUUGCAUUUUACCAGCCAUUUGAAAACACACGUCAGCGGGUGGUUUGCAUACAAGCAACAGAAAUUGUCUUUAGCAAAAAAUAAUGGUCCACUGCCUGUUAAGUUGUAACGAGAACAUAUCUAGCAAGAUUUUCCCUUUCCCUUACUGACCUUACUCUUGUGAAAGGAAUCCUUACCUAGACCCAUGUUGUAUCAUGUUGUGCUGAAUUACAUAAUUAAAUUGUUAUGGAGAAAUAUGGAUACAUUUCUGUGCUUGAUGCCAAGUAUCUAACCCUCUCUAAUUCCAAUACCACUUGUACAGGGUAGAUGACUUUCUUUUUAUUAAUUUAUACAUAUUUUUCUUGAAGGGACAUGGAUUCAUCAAGCCUUCUUAUAAACAGUAUCAAUAUAGUAUUGACAUCUCCAAACCUGCAAACCUCCAAACCUGAGUAAUAAUUAUAGGUUUUUGACCACAUUCCACUAACAUCAUAAGUACCCAAGGCUAUACGGUAAUAGCAAUGAACGUUUAGCAUGUGUGUCAAAAUUGAAUGAGAAGCAUUUAGUACUGAGCCCCAAGGGAAAUGGAUUGGUUUGACAUGUCUAAUAUGUACUAUAUCACAUGUCUAAUAUGUAAUGCAUCACAAAAGAAAAAUGCAACAGUUGAUGUCAGUGGAUCACUAUGUUCUAAGUAGUUUAACACAUCUAGGUGUAAAUACCCGGAAAUAAAAGCUGAAAUUCUGAA